UAAAGUGGAAUAGGUGGACUUUUCAGUGUUUUUAAUGGUGUCAAAAUUUCCAACACUUUUUCCAUAUUUCGCAUAAUAUUACUUUAUAACUACUGAGACUGGAGGUGUUUUGAUAUUGUGAAUAUUAAUUAAAGUAAUUGUCAAGUCAGAAUAUAUAAUGCAUUCGAGCCUAGCUUCAUUUUUUCUAUGGGUCAAUUUCAAAAUUAAAUACGUUACGUACGUAUGGCAGCGGGGCGCCGGCACCUCGCCUGUGACGUCAUCAAGGAUUCGGGACUCGGUCUGCUCCAGUGUCUUCUCAAUAUUUACCGUAAUUUCCAGUGUUUUCCAAGUGUUUCUAGCUGUUUCUAAAGUCAGGCGUGUAGAUAGUUGUAGUAGAAGGAAGAAAAUAAGAGAAAUGAAAGAGGAGAAGGAAGAAACAAAAAGAAAUGGAGGAGGAGGCAAAACAGCUAUCCAACAUCAGAACAGUAUAUGAAUAUGGCAAAUGCUGUUUUGACAUCAUUUCCUGCCAUCCUGAGAAACAGUGAUCUCGAGGAGCAUGAAUUGCAGCUGCAAUGGAAAUUGCGCAUCCAGCGCAAGUUUCAGAAUUCAAGAAAGAGGCAGGAUUCCAAAGUGACUGAGGUGACGUCAAGGAAAAAGAAGAUCCCUUGCAUAGCGCCAAAAGAGACUACGUGUCUACUGAUGUAUGGAGUAAAGGCUUACCUUCCACCAAGGCCCCAUUCAGAAGAUGAUGAGUCAUUAGAGAGACAUAGACAGUGGCUUGCUCUACAUUGGAUGAAGAAAGAUCCCGAGUUAGAUAAGCUAUCCAACAUCAGAACAGUAUAUGAAUAUGGCAAAUGCUGUUUUGACAUCAUUUCCUGCCAUCCUGAGAAACAGUGAUCUCGAGGAGCAUGAAUUGCAGCUGCAAUGGAAAUUGCGCAUCCAGCGCAAGUUUCAGAAUUCAAGAAAGAGGCAGGAUUCCAAAGUGACUGAGGUGACGUCAAGGAAAAAGAAGAUCCCUUGCAUAGCGCCAAAAGAGACUACGUGUCUACUGAUGUAUGGAGUAAAGGCUUACCUUCCACCAAGGCCCCAUUCAGAAGAUGAUGAGUCAUUAGAGAGACAUAGACAGUGGCUUGCUCUACAUUGGAUGAAGAAAGAUCCCGAGUUAGAUAAGCUAUCCAACAUCAGAACAGUAUAUGAAUAUGGCAAAUGCUGUUUUGACAUCAUUUCCUGCCAUCCUGAGAAACAGUGAUCUCGAGGAGCAUGAAUUGCAGCUGCAAUGGAAAUUGCGCAUCCAGCGCAAGUUUCAGAAUUCAAGAAAGAGGCAGGAUUCCAAAGUGACUGAGGUGACGUCAAGGAAAAAGAAGAUCCCUUGCAUAGCGCCAAAAGAGACUACGUGUCUACUGAUGUAUGGAGUAAAGGCUUACCUUCCACCAAGGCCCCAUUCAGAAGAUGAUGAGUCAUUAGAGAGACAUAGACAGUGGCUUGCUCUACAUUGGAUGAAGAAAGAUCCCGAGUUAGAUAAGAUAAUCAAGGAGUUCCUGAGAUUAGAACCACAAGCGGAUGAACCAGACCCAAGAGUAGCAGUUUUGAAAGGGCUGGAGAAAUAUAGGCUCCCAAUAAUUGCCAUUCUCAAAAAAAGAAAAGCAGUUCCUCUGUAUAUAGAAACCUUACUUGAACUCUAUGACCACGAUGAAAGUCAAUGCGAGUAAUGUUUAGUUCAAUUUGUUCAUUUCAGUAGCUGGUAGCAAUUUAAUAUAUGUAUCUUUUCAUUAUUAGCAAUGCAUCUUUCACUUUUAUAAGCCUAGUAUUCAUGAAACUAUGCUGCAUGCAAAAACCAAACAUUGUAUUAAGCAUGACCUAUCUAACUGUAAUGCUUGCACCAAUUUCUAUAAAGGUACUAAUUUAAUUGUUAAAUUCCUGCUCUUCUAUCAAUUUUUUUGGCUGAGUGCUACGGCUAAAUAAUUGUUUGCAGCAUAAGUGAUGUUAAAGAUUUUAAUAGGUGUAAAGCAUCUCUCUCUCUCUCUCUCUCUCUCUCUCUCUCUCUCUCUCUCUCUCUCUCUCUCUCUCUCUCUCUCUCUCUCUCUCUCUCUCUCUCUCUCUCUCUCUCUCUCUCUCUCUCUCUCUCUCUCUCUCGUAAAGAAAGACAUUAUUUCUAGUGUAAAUAAACCCAAUAGGCUGUCCAAUUUGAAAUUUAAAAUGUAAAUAUCAUCAAUCUUUUUAGAAAUGUUAGCUGCAUCCUCUUCCCUUGCAGUCCAAUAAGACAGGUCACUAAUUUGUGUGGAGAUAGAAUUCUUGGAGUCACCUUUGCCGGCAGUAGUGCAAGUGCAAACAGUCUGAUAAAAGUUUCUUCCAUGGUUGUGAUGAAAUUCAGGACUUCUCACACUGUUUUGGUGGAUAUGAUGAGAAGAAUCGGGAGUUCGGGACAUCAGUGCGUUAUGUCGGGGCAUGUAGGUUCGGCUGGGGUUUUCUUUCUUUCUUUCUUUUUUUUUUUCGAUCAGUACUCAUCAUAUUCUUACGAGGACUUGCUAGACAAAGCAUUAUUGCAUUAUGAUAUUACCCAAAUAGUGUCUCAAGUAAAAAACAUAACCGCAUACUCGUACAAAAGAUUUGCUGCUGUGACACAAACGACAAAAAUCAUUAGUAUACUGGUCGUUCUGAGCAUUCAAUCAAAAUGCUUGUCAUUCAUAUAAUUAGUAGAACCAUCGAGGAGCUUUAUUUUUGUUAAUUCUUAUGUGAUAAAGCAAUAAUUACAGGAGAAUUUUAAAAGAUUGGUACUCAAAUUAGUGGACUGUCCUAUUGGAUGUGACCAUGUCUUCACUUUUUCCUUACACAGUUAAUUUUCUUUUGUUUAUUUGAUUUACUUAUUAUCAUAUUUAUUUCUAUAUUUAUUUAUUUGCACCAGAUGCUUGCUUAGUUAUAUUGGGGUUACUUCACCUGCUUGGAGAAAGGAAAGACUCCAUUUUUACUAAGGUACCAGAAGAAGAACUAAGAACAGGGCAGUCUAGUGUGUAUUUGAUGGUGCACCUGUAGCUGAACCAACAUGUAUUUCUAUGGCUGUAGUCUCAUUGGUAGCAGGGCUUUGUGUUUAAUAUUGAACACCCAAAAAAUUGUGAACAUUUCCUCCGUUUCACAACAUAGGUAUCAAGUAUGACAAAGGUAACACUUCAAAAACAAGAUCUCUACUUGUAAAACUCAAUGAAGUAAAGACAGAAUUGAGCUACAAAAAUGCAUAAAUCUACUUCCAAAUAUAUUCAACUCCACACAUAAUGCCUCUCUCUCUCUCUCUCUCUCUCUCUCUCUCUCUCUCUCUCUCUCUCUCUCUCUCUC